rnacentral:miRNA from 1 species
CUUACUUGUUCUGGCCUGUCCCU